rnacentral:miRNA from 1 species
GCUGACACAUCCGGGCCAAUCUCCAGCAGACCCUCCCUCCCAGACCCUCCCACCUCCUGGACAGCAUCCAUGUUGAAGCUGCCUUCAACAUGGAUGCUGUCCAGGAGGUGGGAGGGUCUAGGAGGGAGGGUCUGCUGGAGAUUGGCCCGGAUGUGUCAG